rnacentral:tRNA from 1 species
AGGUUUGUAGCUCAGUUAGGAAGAGCACACCCCUGAUAAGGGUGAGGUCAAUGGUUCAAAUCCAUUCAAACCUA